GACUUUUUUCCCUUAAAGAUCUUCCAUCAGAGACUUCUUGAGUGUGACAGUUGAUAUUCCCAGAUAUAGGCCAUCACGCGGAGGACAUAAGGAGGGGACUGUUAAGCAAGAAGGCUUGUGUCUAGACAGAUCUGCAUUAGAGUGGCUACUUGCGUAUCCUCCCCUGGGAGUCAGAAUGGCUCCUGGAGUCUCAGACGGAGGCUGACCCCUGAGGCGGAGACCUGGAGGAAUGACUUUGGGAUCCAAGGACAAGUGGCAAAAGGAGGCCCCCCCCUCAAGGGAGCUGUAGACCCUAAUGCUAAGGAUCUGGAUUGAGCUGAGUCAUGAAGAUGAAGUCUGGAGAUGAAGCUCAUCUCCAGAAAUGCCCUCCUCUCUCUUCAUGUUCCUUUGUUCGCGGUCGUGGUUUACGCACCAACAACAUCUUGGGUCCCGCACUGUGGUAGUGGGGGUCCAGAAAUACUUUGCAGGAGAACAUGUGGAUGAUUCUGAGCCCAAGUUCUGAGGCUCUGGGUCACAGUAGAGAAGUCCUGAAGGUAGAGACCCUGAAUUCCUGCUCAGUCAUCCUUUUGUUUGGAUUCAGCCUCUCCCUCAAUGGUUUGCUCCCUCAGUUACACUGACAGAAACCAACAGUCUCCUAUGAGGAGAGAGAACACAUUCCAGUGUUUCAACUGAAGCUUAGUUUGUUCUUGCACCGCAGAGGGGGAAGACUUCUCCAACACCAUCUGCUCCCAAUGAGCUCAUACGAGUUGAUUGAUAGUAGGACUGUUUUUUAAGGCAGCAUCCCUGCUUCAAUUCUUACUCUACCUAUCUUGAAAUAGCAGCUACGAACUCUUGGAGUAACUGCCGAGAUAUGAGCAGGGAAUCAUUCAUCACGGUACCUAAAGGCAUACUGAGAUUUUCAGAUCUUCCAAUCUAGCUGAAAUCAAGCCCGCGAGCGUCAGCAAAAGCAGAACGAUGUCUGGGCCUCUCAGAAGAAUCUCCAUGUCUCCCGAUCUCCAUGUUGGAACUACAUCUCGCUGUCCAACAAAAAAAUUUAAA